rnacentral:rRNA from 1 species
UACAGAGGUCUCAAGCGUUGUUCGGAUUCAUUGGGCGUAAAGGGUGUGUAGGUGGCGCGCUAAGUCGGGUGUGAAAUUUCGGAGCUUAACUCCGAAACUGCAUUCGAUACUGGCGUGCUUGAGGACUGGAGAGGAGACUGGAAUUCCUGGUGUAGCGGUGAAAUGCGCAGAUAUCAGGAAGAACACCCGUGGCGAAGGCGGCUCUCUGGUACGUGACUGACGCUGAGACGCGAAAGCGUGGGGAGCAAACAGG